GACGAACGCUGGCGGCGUGCCUAAUACAUGCAAGUAGAACGCUGAAGGAGGAGCUUGCUUCUCUGGAUGAGUUGCGAACGGGUGAGUAACGCGUAGGUAACCUGCCUGGUAGCGGGGGAUAACUAUUGGAAACGAUAGCUAAUACCGCAUAAUAGCAGUUGUUGCAUGAUAACUGUUUGAAAGGUGCAAUUGCACCACUACCAGAUGGACCUGCGUUGUAUUAGCUAGUUGGUGGGGUAACGGCUCACCAAGGCGACGAUACAUAGCCGACCUGAGAGGGUAAUCGGCCACACUGGGACUGAGACACGGCCCAGAAUCCUACGGGAGGCAGCAGUAGGGAAUCUUCGGCAAUGGACGGAAGUCUGACCGAGCAACGCCGCGUGAGUGAAGAAGGUUUUCGGAUCGUAAAGCUCUGUUGUAAGAGAAGAACGAGUGUGAGAGUGGAAAGUUCACACUGUGACGGUAUCUUACCAGAAAGGGACGGCUAACUACGUG
rnacentral:rRNA from 1 species